GUACCUCUUUGGCAUAUUUUGAGACGGCUAUUCAGAGGGGCUGCAGACACAAGCAUAGCUCUGAAAAAUCUAUCCUUUUGUAAAAGAAAUUUACAUCUAUCUAUAUUAAUAAAGCAAACAAAAGUUGCAGGGAGAGGCUUUUUCUGAGGUCCCUUUUUUCUAAACCUAGGAAAGAUUAAAUCACAGGAAAAGGGAAUUAAAGAAAGGUCUGACACUUUUAAAGGUCUGACAGAGAAAUUAUCACUACAGGUUAUGAUCUAUUCUUUCUGUGGGCUAUUGCCUGAGAGACUUUAUCUGUACAAUGAAACAACAGCCUUUGUUCACAGUGCAUUUCUUCCCCUCAUCCUCCCAUAACCUGCCACCACAGCCCUCAGGACCGCCAAGACUCUAUCCUUCCUGUACAAUAUGAAAACGUCAGCCAUCAGGCUCUUUUUUGAGUCUCAUAUUUUGUGUGACUCUCAUGCUCAUGUGCAUAUAAUAAAUUUGUAUGUGUUUUUACCCUGUUAAUCUGUCUCUUGUCAGUUGGUUUUAUAGACACAAAUUAUUGAAUCUUCAGAAGGAAGAGGGAGGAAAGUUGCCUUUGUCCCUAACAGUUUUGGUGAGCCCAGGCAGGAGAACAAGUCACUCUGCUCAGUUUAGAGGCUGUAAAUGGGACCCUGGGACAACUAACAAAAAAGCCAGCCAAGAAAGCUAUCUACAGUUUACGGGAAUAUGGGAAGGUGUACUUUUGUGUGCAGAAUUGAAAUUUUUUUUUCUCCCUACCUGAUCCCUCCAGAGUUUGGAGACUAUUUGUGAGAAAAAAUGUCACUUCCUGAGAGGCCCUGGAACCUGAAUAUAUUUUUGGGAACCUUGAGAAGAGAAGUAUUCACUCAAGUUUAAAGGUAUUACAGGCACAAUUUGAGGGUGACUCCUCCUUGGAUUGGCUUCCCAGCCUCAAGAGGCUUUCAAAAGUUUAAUCUGAGAUUCCUUGUGAAAAGUUCCAGCAAAGCAAAAUUGAAAAUGAGCUUAUAUGAUUAAUCAUCAUUUUGCUGUACUUCUGUAAAUUAUUAGGCAAAGUAUAACAAGCCUAAAACUUAUUUUGCAAACAAAUUAGUUUUAUUGUGAUUAACUUUGGUAAAAAGGGGGGAACUCGAGAGAGAAAAAUUAUGACUUAAAAGAAAACUACAGUGUAUCUGUUAUUAGAUUCUAGCUCUGUUCAUUUUUUUGAGAUUUUAUUAUUUACCUACAAUUUAGACUGGAUUCUGAAAUUGUUAGUUUCCUCUAAUGUCUGACUGCAACUCUCCAAAAUAACAUUUUCACUUUUUUCUCCAAUUUUUUUCUGACUUGGAAUCACUGAAAUUAAAUGUGCCUUUUUCUUGAAGCCCUGAAAGCUGAAGCUGGUUGACUCCAGAUAAAUCACAAUAACAACUUAAAAUCUGUCAGAUUGUCACUGUCUAUCCACACUUCAACUGAAGAUGUUUUGAGGCCAAAUCUAGAAAUCUUUUCAACUGCUAGACUCAGAACUAGUUUAUAUGCUGCUUCAAUUAUUAACUUUUGUCUUUCUUUUGUUUCUUUAGAGAAGCCUCAUAUUAAAAACUUGUUUGCUUACACCAUGUAGAGACUUAA
rnacentral:lncRNA from 1 species